UACGGGGGGGGCAAGCGUUGUUCGGAAUUACUGGGCGUAAAGGGCUCGUAGGUGGCCAACUAAGUCGGACGUGAAAUCCCUCGGCUUAACCGGGGAACUGCGUCCGAUACUGGUUGGCUUGAGUUUGGGAGAGGGAUGCAGAAUUCCCGGUGUAGUGGUGAAAUGCGUAGAGAUCGGGAGGAACACCCGUGGCGAAGGCGGCCAGCUGGGAUACGCCUGACGCUGAGGCACGAAGGCGUGGGGAGCGAACGGG
rnacentral:rRNA from 1 species